rnacentral:rRNA from 1 species
UACAGAGGUCUCAAGCGUUGUUCGGAUUCAUUGGGCGUAAAGGGUGCGUAGGCGGCGCAGUAAGUCGGGUGUGAAAUUUCGAGGCUUAACUUCGAAACUGCAUUCGAUACUGCCGUGCUUGAGGACUGGAGAGGAGACUGGAAUUUACGGUGUAGCGGUGAAAUGCGUAGAUAUCGUAAGGAAGACCAGUGGCGAAGGCGGGUCUCUGGACAGUUCCUGACGCUGAGGCACGAAGGCCAGGGGAGCAAACGGG